rnacentral:rRNA from 1 species
GAUGAACGCUGGCUACAGGCUUAACACAUGCAAGUCGAGGGGAAACGACGGGGAAGCUUGCUUCCCCGGGCGUCGACCGGCGCACGGGUGAGUAACGCGUAUCCAACCUGCCUCUGACUGAGGGAUAACCCGUCGAAAGUCGGCCUAAUACCUCAUGGCAUCGUCUGCGGGCAUCCAACGACGAUUAAAGAUUUCAUCGGUCAGAGAUGGGGAUGCGUCUGAUUAGCUUGUUGGCGGGGUAACGGCCCACCAAGGCGACGAUCAGUAGGGGUUCUGAGAGGAAGGUCCCCCACAUUGGAACUGAGACACGGUCCAAACUGCUACGGGAGGCAGCAGUGAGGAAUAUUGGUCAAUGGGCGAGAGCCUGAACCAGCCAAGUAGCGUGCAGGAUGACGGCCCUAUGGGUUGUAAACUGCUUUUAUGCGGGGAUAAAGUGAGGGACGUGUCCUUCAUUGCAGGUACCGCAUGAAUAAGGACCGGCUAAUUCCGU